UCCCCGCAGGGCGCGAAGGAGAAACUGAUAGUCCGCAGUGGGGUGAACUUAAAGACCUGACUUUCAUUAGCGUGGUGUUGUAACAGACUGGCCUCUGAGGAAAUGGACUUUACGUUAUGAAUUCAUAUCUGGUUUCCAGUUCACAGGCUCCAAUAUUAGGACUCUCCAACUUUUUUUCUGAUUCAGCAUAAAAAUGGUGACCUGUCUCCUGACCUGCCGCCUGAUCUGCCUGCCAGGGUGGAUGCAGACCAACGUUUGCAAACCUUAACGGACAGUGUGAAUGCUGAUUGGAAAGACAGCAACUGGAGCUCACAAAUAAUUUCCCCAAAGGUCAAUUAGACAGACCCACAAGAUAUCUCUGGCACACAUAGGAAGUAUCGGCCUCAUCUAUAUUUAUUGUAAUUCCCUUCUCCCUGGUCCCAUUAAAGGAGAGUUUGGGGUGCAAUAAAUAUUUCAUGAUAAAAAUGUCCA
rnacentral:lncRNA from 1 species